AGUGAACGCUGGCGGUAGGCCUAACACAUGCAAGUCGAACGGCAGCACAGUAAGAGCUUGCUCUUACGGGUGGCGAGUGGCGGACGGGUGAGGAAUACAUCGGAAUCUACUUUUUCGUGGGGGAUAACGUAGGGAAACUUACGCUAAUACCGCAUACGACCUACGGGUGAAAGCAGGGGAUCUUCGGACCUUGCGCGAUUGAAUGAGCCGAUGUCGGAUUAGCUAGUUGGCGGGGUAAAGGCCCACCAAGGCGACGAUCCGUAGCUGGUCUGAGAGGAUGAUCAGCCACACUGGAACUGAGACACGGUCCAGACUCCUACGGGAGGCAGCAGUGGGGAAUAUUGGACAAUGGGCGCAAGCCUGAUCCAGCCAUACCGCGUGGGUGAAGAAGGCCUUCGGGUUGUAAAACCCUUUUGUUGGGAAAGAAAGGCAGCAGGUUAAUACCCCGCUGUUCUGACGGUACCCAAAGAAUAAGCACCGGCUAACUUCGU
rnacentral:rRNA from 1 species